AUCACUUGAUCAACUUUCUAGUCUCAAGGAGCUUUCCAUUUCACAUUGUCCGGAAUUGAAAAGAGUUCCGCCUCAACACCUUCCUUCUUUACAAAAAUUGGAGAUAAGUUACUGCAACAAGCUUGAGGAAUGUUUAUGUCUUGAAGGAUCUCCGUUGCUUAAAGAGCUUUAUAUAAGAGAAUGUCCAGAAUUGAAAAGAAUUCCGCCUCAACACCUUCCUUCUUUACAAAAAUUGGAUAUAAGUGAUUGCAACAAGUUGGAGGAAUGUUUAUGUCUUGAAGGAUCUCCUUUGCUUAAAGAGGUUUAUAUAGAAAAAUGUUCCAAAUUGAAAAGGGCCCCCUUGCCUCAACACCUUCCUU
rnacentral:lncRNA from 1 species